rnacentral:tRNA from 1 species
GGAAGCAUAACUCAAGUGGUAGAAUGCUUGUUUAGCAAACAUGAAGCUCUGAGUUCAAACUCCAGUACUGCCA